rnacentral:lncRNA from 1 species
CUUUCGUGGAGAGACAGGAUCUGAGGAAGGGAAGGAGUUCAUUAUUAUUCUCUGAAGUCAUCAGGGAGCACCAAGAGGGUGGGAUUUCAGGAAGUAUUUAAAUGAAAGGAGACACAUGGCUUGGCACAGUGAGAGGGAGGUUUUCCAGGCUUCCUGUGCUGUCUUGGGGACCUGCUCAGAGGCUGGACCGCGUCAUGCUCAGAAGGCCCUGUUUUCUUUAGACGCUGACUCCUGCUGUCUACCAGAUCCUCGUGGUACAAUGACUGGUGUAGACUGGCUUGUUGAAGUCACUCUCUGGAUCUGAGCAACGCUGGCUGAGCCGUGAUGAAGUAUUCCUAUCCAUCCACUAUGCUUCACAGUGGGAAUCUCUCACUGUUCAUCACCGCUGCCCUAGCAGCCGCAGCUGGAAUGAGAGACUGGAUGGCGUUGAAAUGAAAUGCUGGAGCCAUCCAUCCAUGUGCUUCCAGGGUGGCUUCCUGGCUGUGAGAACACAGUGACCCUGUGAGGCCAACAUGGACUCGGUUCUCCUGACAUAACAUGGCUGGAGGAGCUCCAGCUCUGGGAUGUUAUCUUGCUGUUUUACACUGGUGGUUCAGCCAGCCCAUGGGAAACUGAACUUGGGCUGGGAGACCUGGCAGCAAAUCCAAACUGAAAUAAGAAUCAGCACUUCGAGUUCAACUGUGAAACAAAUGUGGGCCCAAGGCCUAAAUGCCCGAAAGACAUAGGGAAGGGUUGAAGUGGAAUAAAGAAAGCUUUUGGUGACACUAUGGGAAGGGCUAUUGAGUAUCUUCUCAGGACAGUACAAAAUGUCAGAGGCACAGCAUAUUUCGAAACCUAUUUUUAAAGCUGCUUUAGAUUUUUUAACUUGAUGGAUAGAUAUAUUCAUUUUUUAAAAAAAGAAAUGGUGACCCUCUUAAGAGGCAAAGUACGAGCCUCAAGUGUUGUGGGAUGUAUCCAUCAUUGGUUACUAAGUUUUCCAAUGGCUCAGACACUCCCAGAAGCGAAGACUCCUGAGCCAAAGGAAGAUGAGAGCUGAAAGGAGCAUCGAGCUCAUCCAGUGCAAUGCUUCUCAGCUUGUGCCCACUUUGGAUUCACUUGGAAAUAUUUUAGAAAUACUGAUGCCUGGGCCCCAUUCCAGACCAGUUAAAUCAUACUAUCUGGGAGAGAUACCCAGAAAGUGGUAUGUUUUAACACCUCCUUAGGGAUUCUGCUGAUCAACCAAGGUUGAGAAGAAUCAAACUAGACUCAUUUUACAUAUGAAGAAAUGGAAACCCAGAUAUUGAGAUAAAAAAUGUUGCCCAAGUCACGUAGCUAGUGUCAAAACCUGACUCUUAAUAAAUGCCCUUAUGUCACACUAA